CAAACUGCGAAUACCGGAGAAUGUUAUCACGGGAGACACACGGCGGGUGCUAACGUCCGUCGUGAAGAGGGAAACAACCCAGACCGCCAGCUAAGGUCCCAAAGUCAUGGUUAAGUGGGAAACGAUGUGGGAAGGCCCAGACAGCCAGGAUGUUGGCUUAGAAGCAGCCAUCAUUUAAAGAAAGCGUAAUAGCUCACUGGUCGAGUCGGCCUGCGCGGAAGAUGUAACGGGGCUAAACCAUGCACCGAAGCUGCGGCAGCGACGCUUAUGCGUUGUUGGGUAGGGGAGCGUUCUGUAAGCCUGUGAAGGUGUGCUGUGAGGCAUGCUGGAGGUAUCAGAAGUGCGAAUGCUGACAUAAGUAACGAUAAAGCGGGUGAAAAGCCCGCUCGCCGGAAGACCAAGGGUUCCUGUCCAACGUUAAUCGGGGCAGGGUGAGUCGACCCCUAAGGCGAGGCCGAAAGGCGUAGUCGAUGGGAAACAGGUUAAUAUUCCUGUACUUGGUGUUACUGCGAAGGGGGGACGGAGAAGGCUAUG
rnacentral:rRNA from 1 species